GUGUGACUCGGUUUAAUGGUGGAUUUGGGAGUCCUGGGGUAGAGGUUGGACUUGAUCUUUAAGUUGUUUUCCAAACUAGUUGGUUCUACAGUUCUAUGAUUCUAAAAGGAAAAUUUAAAAGGGUAAACCAUAAGUAGAAAUAGACGGCCACAGAUUCUUUUCAAAUCUCUCUUGUGUCUGCAGUACCUUGAGAAAACAUUAGAAAUAAAAAUUCCUUCUUAAAAAAAGAAGUUGGAACCAGGUGAAGAAAGUAGAAUAAACUAUAAACUCAGGCUAAGUUCAGCUGCUAUUCACAUGAGACUGCUAAAGAAAGUACUGAAAUUUCCCAUCAGUUAAUUUUCUGUAUAGUCUCUUGAUUAAAUUGCUCUCAGGAAUAAGGAGGGCAUGCUAGGAAACUGGUUUAGCCAACAUGGGGAAGCUAUGUCCCAGUGCCAGAAGCAAACAAUACAUAUGUCUCUAGAGCCUGUUGUCUACGACGUGGAAUUAGAGUUGGGUCCUUGUUCGUACUUCCAGAAUAAUCUGCCUCAAGAGUUCCUGACAAUACAUCUUUAGGGUAAUUAACUCUACUGAGAUUCCAUCUUAUUAUAUUUCAACUUUAGCAAAGCAUAGGGACAGAAAUCCUACAUGUUCCACUUCUUUGAAUAGUUGCUACUGACAAUUUUAUUCCUUUGUGGGCUCAAAUGUUUCUUAGAAGCCUGGGGUACACUAAUCAGCUAAUGGAAAAAAAUGGUGGCACCUUCAGUAAACACCUAUAAACAGUCUCUUUGUGGGAAAAGUAGUUGAUCUCUGAUUAUUUCCUGCAGAAAACAGGAAUUUAUGUUUGUUAUAAAAGAAAUAAGGUUUUUUAAGGUGGUAUCCUUACAGCUGAAUCCUUUCUAACUAGAAGAUUCCAUUUUUUGUUGAAAUGCAGGCUGGUUAAAUUUGAACUCUAUAGUGAACAACUGGUUUCAGCAGCUUCAGGUAAGCUCUACUACAUAACAGUUUUCAGGUGCUUCAGGCUUCCUGCCAGAAAGGCAGGAGCCUAAACUCUGUGCUCUUCAUCUUGAACCAGAAAACCCAGUACAGGAAUCUUAAAGUUAGACAGUCCUCUGGCUUCUUUAGAAAAACAAGGAGAGCAAUCUCAUGCAAACACAACCCCAGGAAACAUCAUUUCAGUGCAAAAAUACUUGUUUCAAAGAUAGCUAAACAGUGUUUCUUAGCCUGUGUUGCUUGUGAUUAAUUUUGGGUUGUUUUUUUUGGUCACUUGUUUUUGAUUUAGAAUUAAUCCAGAUGUGUUGACUUUCCAAAGUUUUUGAAAAUCAGAAUUCUCAAGUUCAGGCCAAGUCCAU